UACGGAGGAUUCGAGCGUUAUCCGGAUUUAUUGGGUUUAAAGGGUGCGUAGGCGGCGGAAUAAGUCAGUGGUGAAAUUCUUGAGCUUAACUGAAGAAGUGCCAUUGAUACUGUUUUGCUUGGAUAAAGUCGAAGUAGGCGGAAUGUGACAAGUAGCGGUGAAAUGCAUAGAUAUGUCACAGAACCCCAAUUGCGAAGGCAGCUUACUAGGUUUUUAUUGACGCUGAGGCACGAAAGCGUGGGUAUCAAACAGG
rnacentral:rRNA from 1 species